rnacentral:rRNA from 1 species
GACGGAGGAUGCAAGCGUUAUCCGGAAUGAUUGGGCGUAAAGCGUCCGCAGGUGGCAGUUCAAGUCUGCUGUCAAAGACCGGGGCUUAACUUCGGAAAGGCAGUGGAAACUGAACAGCUAGAGUAUGGUAGGGGCAGAGGGAAUUCCUGGUGUAGCGGUGAAAUGCGUAGAGAUCGGGAAGAACAUCGGUGGCGAAGGCGCUCUACUGGACCACAACUGACACUCAGGGACGAAAGCUAGGGGAGCGAAUGGG